rnacentral:lncRNA from 1 species
UUAUCUUAGUAGCAAUACUGCCAAAAAAGAGUUUCCUCAUUUAUUCUUCUUUUUUCUUUCAUUGCAGUUUUGCUGUCUUGAAUGUUACUGCAGCACUGGAAACACAAUUCUAAAGUACAUCAGUGGUUGGUAAAGGAGAGAGAAGAAAGUAGUAGCCAGUGUUUAAUGAUUUUGAAUUGUUAAGCACAAGUGCCACACUGCAUGUGUGUUAGGCCCCUGAAAUUCAAACAAUUGUUUCAGCCAAAGAGGAGCCUUCAAAUUUGCUUCAGAUUUCGUCUUGUGAGGUACAAAACAAGGAAAGAUUACUUCCAAAUCUGUUUCUCCAAAGUCACUUUCAAAGUCUCUGGAAGUAAAAUAUACUCAAAAUGUUCAAAACCUUCCAAGAAAAAGAAUUACAUCAUUGUGAACAACCGACAAAAAGACUUUAUGAUCUGAAGGUACUGUAUACCUUUCUGUGGGACCAAUGUAAGAUAACACCAAAGAGUUGGAUUAAUAGUGCUUUCUCUUAAUCUUGCAUUAAGACAUUCAAGUGGUGGUAAAUCCAUCACUUCCUUUGGGCAAUGCUACUUAAUAAUUAGAAAGGUUUCAAUGACGCUAGCUGUAAAUGCUCUUUGUUUUAGUGUCAAGCAUUGCUCCUUACUUACAGCAUAUAGACUUGAGAUACCUGUUGAGUGACAACAGGCUUGAUAUCCUAGAAGUGGUGACAAUUCCCUGGGAACAUCACUCUCUUCCUGGCAUGUUUAUGACGUUGGAAAGAGGAUUAACUUGGAUAACAGUGUCUACAGUCUUGUCAACCCACAAGACUGAAGUGUAAAGUGAGUCUAGCCAAACCUUUAAGAUACAGCAGAGCAGAAAAUGGGCUAAUGUGACCUUCAGCUGCGACCCAAAUGUUUGUUAAUACCCUGUAUUUAUACAAUGAGGCUCCAAGGGCAUUUUUUACAGACUUUGGUUCAUAAAUUGUACAGAAGAGGGAAAUAUUGGAAGCAGGCCUCAGUCUCUUUUUACGAAUGGUUAAACCUGGUGUGCAUAUCUAUAUGUCCAUGUCAGCAGAUAAUGUCUCCAUGUGUCCUGUAUAUAAUAUGUGCCGGAAACAGCACCCUAUGAUGACGCUUUCCACAUAAACUUUGGAGACAAAAAAAAUGGCUGCAUGAAUUCUGUUCAUAGUUUUCUGUAUUUGGGAAAGCAGAUGCUAGUCUCCAAAGGCUUAUGCCAUAAUAAACAAUUAGAUCCUUUGUUGAUUUUUGUGGUUGUUGGGAGCACAGUAUAAUGGUGAUUAUUUUUAAAAGUCACAUUAUACUAUGUUGAACUGUGAUAGCUGUAAUCCAAAACUACUUCUGCUCUAAAGCCAUCAUGAGCUUCUACUUAAUUAAGGACUAACAUUUCUAUGAUAUCAGGAAAAAUGGAUGCCAGAUUUAAACAAACCCAAGUUGGAAAUGGAAAUUUGUAGCUCUACUGGUAGACAUAAUAAGAUGUCUGCUUGAAUCCUCCCUCUAGCAUUCUCAUUGAAUAGAGCUAGCAUUCUCCACCCAUCCUGUCUCAAUCUUAUGGUUCUGAUAACACUAUUGGAUUUUAUAGAUGGCAUGAGAGAUUUUUGCCUCAGGCAGUGAAAUUUCAUGCACUCUGUCCUUUUCCUGACUAGCCACUAGCAAAAAGGUAUAUGCCAUAUGUCUAAGACACCAGCCAGGUUCUGAAGCAACUGCUCUGAAGUGUCUCUGCAGUUAUAGUUCUAUCAGUUUCAUACCUCUUUAACUGUUAUGGCCCUAGCUUACAAAAUACUGUGAUUUUUAGCUCUGGUCAAAGAUGUAAAAGUCUGUGAGAGAACUCUAGUGCCCAUCUAUAUAGAAUUCUAAAUAACCCCUUAAACUACAAAUCCUAAGAUACCAUAGGGUAUAUCCCACUAUUAAUAAAGUUGUAUGAAACAGAUACAUCCAAAGUGUGAUUGAGAAAAGGUUUUAUAAUUGCAGAAAUAUGUUUUCAUGCCUAAACAAAAUAUCUGUAGCCAUAUCUUAAAAAACUCCUCAUUAUGUAGUGGUAAAAUAAUGAAGAAAUAUGCUUCCUGUAGCAAUCCCUAAAUUUGGUGUGUAUGAUACGUAUAAAGGGUGGCUCUUCACUCAUUAGAUAGAAAUAUUUAUUAUUUAUUUAUUUAUUUACAGUAUUUAUAUUCUGCUCUUCUCACCCCAAAGGGGACUCAGGGCGGAUCACAAUGUACACAUACAUGGCAAAAAUUCAAUGCCAUAUGAACAUUAUGGUGUCGUAAAUUAGUUAAAUUAGCCUCUCCACAUAAGCGGUACCUAAAUUUCCUACUUGAUAGGAAACUAUCUUUCAGGUUGCUUAGGUCAACAACGAGCAGGGCUAUUUUUUAUUUUAAUUGUCGGGUGCUCUUUCUGACAUGGGCUGGCCUCGAACUCAUGACUUCUUGGUCAUAGUGAUUUACUGCAGCUGGCUACUAACCUGCCUGUGCCACAGCCAAUAGCCCAGGGCUUCAGUAGUCAGCUCCUUGCUUCAGAACUCUUUUGCAGCAAUAAAGAAUCAUAAUGAUGGAUAUUCUUUGGAAUUUGCUUUUUCAGAACAAAUAUUUUAGUUUCUACAGAUCAUCGAGAGCCUUCUAAAACACUAAAGAGUCAUCUGUACUGGGUUUCAAUUACUUUUUAAUCCAAGAAUAUUGUAUUUUAAUAUCUCAACAUAUGACUGAAAUGGAUUAAGAAAGAUCACUCAUAAUUAUCUCUAAAUGCUAUUUAUGCAAGCAAGAUUCCUAACACCUUGGCAACUUUCCAGUUAAAGAUUAGCAAGACAGCUUUUGCUCUAAGACUGCAUCUUACUAGAGUUGAAUACCAUUUGGUGAUACGAAUUCUCUGUUUGAUUUUACUAGAAAAGGGACAAGCCGCAAUACAGUAUUUUGAUAGAAUCACUGAUUACAUUAUUUUUAGUGCGUCUGGACACAGAAGUUAAAAGAAACACAAAAGUGGUGCUGGGCUAUUCCUGGUUAACCCCUUGGCCACUGGCCUGUGGUAUCCCUCUGUUCUGUUUUAUUCUGUUCAGAGAUUUUGGCUUUAUACCACCACCAUACUGAUGACAUUUAAUUCAAUACUCUUCAACUUUGGUUGGGGUUUUCAAUUAAUCAUCUAUCAGCAAAUUUUAAAUUAUGCUUUUAAAAUGUUGAACUCUCUCUCUCCUCCUUGCAUGUUCCUCCUUUGUCCUCAGCUUAUUUCAACUGCUGCAAACUGAAUUUAAAGUACAAAUAUUGUUUGCAUUCAAUUAAUUCAGUAGGUGGGGGAAGAAAAGAGGAGGUAAAUUUUUUUCUUUCCAGAUAGACUUAGGAAAAAGGACAUUGCUACAACCUCUCUUAGUUUGUUUGUUCCUUCUCAUUAAUACCUUUUGACAUCUUGACCACACUCUGAUUUAUUUAAAUAAUAAUAAUAACUUUAUUUAUAACCCGCCCUCUGUCCUCAAAGUGACUCAGGGCCGCUUACAAAGACAAAACAAAAUAGAAAUAAACAGCAGUAAAAAACAAUUAAAACAAGCAAUUAAAAAUUUACAAACAACACAAUAAUCAUUAAAACAGGCAAUAAGUUCCAUAAAUCACAGUGAAUUAAUAGAAUCAACGUGAGAAGUGAAUAAUAUGCCCUAUGAAGAGUGACCUAGGGAAUUAAAUAUGUUUAACCUGGAGAAGGGAAGAUUUAGGGGUGGCAUGAUAGCCAUAUUUGAAUAUUUGAAAGGAUGUCAUAUCAAAGAUGGAGCAGGCUAUUUUUCUGCUGCAGAGACUAGGGUAUGGAGCAAUGGAAUCAAACUACAGAAAAAGAGAUUCCACCUAAGCAUUAAGAAGAACUUCCUAGCAGUAAGAGCUGUUUGAUAGUGGAAUGUUCUGCCUCGAAGUGUAGUGUAGUCUCUUUUUUUGGGCUUUUUAAAC